AGGCUAUAUUGCGUGUGAGGAUGUUGGAGGUAGAGAUUUAUAGCCUUUUCUCACAGCACUUGAUAUAAUUAAACUUAUCAAUUUGAUGGCGGAUCCAGAAAGGUUCAAACGACAAUCACCAGUGACAACUGGAUAUUCACCCGUUAUAAAAUGCAAAAGACUUCAGACUUCGGAGUGGCUACAGAAAAAAAAGAGACUGCAACCGGGCCCAUGCGAAAACAAGGAUAAAUAUCGGAAGGGCUUUUGAAAGGCUGUUGACGCACAUGCAGUUAGCGAGCUGGACCGUGCUGGAUUGUGGAAACAGCCAUCCAUUUCCUUCAUCGCGGCCCCCAUCAUUGCUACAAGGGUCAAUUUGGAGAGCGAAAUAAAAACAAAACGUGUGGUUCAUUUUCCUGACGAUGUCCAGCAUUGGUGAGCAAGCAGCUGUGGUGAGCCACGAGAUUCUUACAAUCACAGAAGGUUCUCAGUGGAUCCUCACCCACCAGGCCCACAUCUCGGCAAAUGAAGCACUCAGACUCAUCUGUCAAAAGAAGAAUGAGAGUUUUAACCCUGAGUAUAAGAACAGAGUGGCUCUAGCAGGAAGAGUCACCAAAGAUUUAGAUAAG